rnacentral:rRNA from 1 species
UACGAAGGGGGCUAGCGUUGCUCGGAAUCACUGGGCGUAAAGCGCACGUAGGCGGCUUCUUAAGUCAGGGGUGAAAUCCUGGAGCUCAACUCCAGAACUGCCUUUGAUACUGAGGAUCUUGAGUAUGGGAGAGGUGAGUGGAACUGCGAGUGUAGAGGUGAAAUUCGUAGAUAUUCGCAAGAACACCAGUGGCGAAGGCGGCUCACUGGCCCAUAACUGACGCUGAGGCACGAAAGCGUGGGGAGCAAACAGG